rnacentral:rRNA from 1 species
UACAGAGGGGGCAAGCGUUGUUCGGAAUUACUGGGCGUAAAGGGCGCGUAGGCGGCCUUCUAAGUCGAACGUGAAAUCCCCGGGCUCAACCCGGGAACUGCGUCCGAUACUGGGAGGCUUGAAUCCGGGAGAGGGAUGUGGAAUUCCAGGUGUAGCGGUGAAAUGCGUAGAUAUCUGGAGGAACACCGGUGGCGAAGGCGGCAUCCUGGACCGGUAGUGACGCUGAGGCGCGAAAGCCAGGGGAGCAAACGGG